rnacentral:rRNA from 1 species
CCCUUAGAUGUUCUGGGCGGCCCGCGCACUACAUUGGCACUAGCAAAGAGAUCCUAGAUUGAAUUCUUUGGGGUAUUCUUCUAAAUGGUGUCGUGACUGGGAUAAAUCCUUGUAAUUAUUGGUUUUGAACGAGGAAUUCCUUGUAAUCGCGGUUUAUCAGCUCGCGUUGAAUGCGUCCCUGCCCUUUGUACACACCGCCCGUCGCUCCUACCGAUGGAUCGUCCGGUGAAGCUCACGGAGUGACCGUUCACGCAACGGUUUACGAAGUGAAAUGGACCUCACGAUUUAGAGGAAGGAGAAGUCGUAACA